GGGUUGUGAGGUUAAGCGACUAAGCGUACACGGUGGAUGCCCUGGCAGUCAGAGGCGAUGAAGGACGUGCUAAUCUGCGAUAAGCGCCGGUAAGGUGAUAUGAACCGUUAUAACCGGCGAUUUCCGAAUGGGGAAACCCAGUGUGAUUCGUCACACUAUCAUUAACUGAAUCCAUAGGUUAAUGAGGCGAACCGGGGGAACUGAAACAUCUAAGUACCCCGAGGAAAAGAAAUCAACCGAGAUUCCCCCAGUAGCGGCGAGCGAACGGGGAGGAGCCCAGAGCCUGAAUCAGCAUGUGUGUUAGUGGAAGCGUCUGGAAAGGCGCGCGAUACAGGGUGACAGCCCCGUACACAAAAAUGCACAUGCUGUGAGCUCGAUGAGUAGGGCGGGACACGUGGUAUCCUGUCUGAAUAUGGGGGGACCAUCCUCCAAGGCUAAAUACUCCUGACUGACCGAUAGUGAACCAGUACCGUGAGGGAAAGGCGAAAAGAACCCCGGCGAGGGGAGUGAAAAAGAACCUGAAACCGUGUACGUACAAGCAGUGGGAGCACAGGUUUACCUGUGUGACUGCGUACCUUUUGUAUAAUGGGUCAGCGACUUAUAUUCUGUAGCAAGGUUAACCGAAUAGGGGAGCCGGAGGGAAACCGAGUCUUAACCGGGCGUUAAGUUGCAGGGUAUAGACCCGAAACCCGGUGAUCUAGCCAUGGGCAGGUUGAAGGUUGGGUAACACUAACUGGAGGACCGAACCGACUAAUGUUGAAAAAUUAGCGGAUGACCUGUGGCUGGGGGUGAAAGGCCAAUCAAACCGGGAGAUAGCUGGUUCUCCCCGAAAGCUAUUUAGGUAGCGCCUCGUGAACUCAUCUCCGGGGGUAGAGCACUGUUUCGGCUAGGGGGCCAUCCCGGCUUACCAACCCGAUGCAAACUGCGAAUACCGGAGAAUGUUAUCACGGGAGACACACGGCGGGUGCUAACGUCCGUCGUGAAGAGGGAAACAACCCAGACCGCCAGCUAAGGUCCCAAAGUCAUGGUUAAGUGGGAAACGAUGUGGGAAGGCCCAGACAGCCAGGAUGUUGGCUUAGAAGCAGCCAUCAUUUAAAGAAAGCGUAAUAGCUCACUGGUCGAGUCGGCCUGCGCGGAAGAUGUAACGGGGCUAAACCAUGCACCGAAGCUGCGGCAGCGAACGUAUCACUUAAAGCGAUUCAGCGGGUUACGAUUGACGGAGCGAAGCGACGUCAAAGCGUAUACAAAGUCGAGUCGGUUUAAGGAUACGUUCGUUGGGUAGGGGAGCGUUCUGUAAGCCUGUGAAGGUGGCCUGUGAGGGUUGCUGGAGGUAUCAGAAGUGCGAAUGCUGACAUAAGUAACGAUAAAGCGGGUGAAAAGCCCGCUCGCCGGAAGACCAAGGGUUCCUGUCCAACGUUAAUCGGGGCAGGGUGAGUCGACCCCUAAGGCGAGGCCGAAAGGCGUAGUCGAUGGGAAACGGGUUAAUAUUCCCGUACUUGGUGUUACUGCGAAGGGGGGACGGAGAAGGCUAUGUUGGCCGGGCGACGGUUGUCCCGGUUUAAGCGUGUAGGUGUGUGUUCCAGGUAAAUCCGGAAAAUCAAGGCUGAGGCGUGAUGACGAGGCACUACGGUGCUGAAGCAACAAAUGCCCUGCUUCCAGGAAAAGCCUCUAAGCAUCAGGUAACAUCAAAUCGUACCCCAAACCGACACAGGUGGUCAGGUAGAGAAUACCAAGGCGCUUGAGAGAACUCGGGUGAAGGAACUAGGCAAAAUGGUGCCGUAACUUCGGGAGAAGGCACGCUGACACGUAGGUGAAGUGAUUUACUCACGGAGCUGAAGUCAGUCGAAGAUACCAGCUGGCUGCAACUGUUUAUUAAAAACACAGCACUGUGCAAACACGAAAGUGGACGUAUACGGUGUGACGCCUGCCCGGUGCCGGAAGGUUAAUUGAUGGGGUCAGCGCAAGCGAAGCUCCUGAUCGAAGCCCCGGUAAACGGCGGCCGUAACUAUAACGGUCCUAAGGUAGCGAAAUUCCUUGUCGGGUAAGUUCCGACCUGCACGAAUGGCGUAAUGAUGGCCAGGCUGUCUCCACCCGAGACUCAGUGAAAUUGAACUCGCUGUGAAGAUGCAGUGUACCCGCGGCAAGACGGAAAGACCCCGUGAACCUUUACUAUAGCUUGACACUGAACAUUGAGCCUUGAUGUGUAGGAUAGGUGGGAGGCUUUGAAGUGUGGACGCCAGUCUGCAUGGAGCCGACCUUGAAAUACCACCCUUUAAUGUUUGAUGUUCUAACGUGGACCCGUAAUCCGGGUUGCGGACAGUGUCUGGUGGGUAGUUUGACUGGGGCGGUCUCCUCCUAAAGAGUAACGGAGGAGCACGAAGGUUGGCUAAUCCUGGUCGGACAUCAGGAGGUUAGUGCAAUGGCAUAAGCCAGCUUGACUGCGAGCGUGACGGCGCGAGCAGGUGCGAAAGCAGGUCAUAGUGAUCCGGUGGUUCUGAAUGGAAGGGCCAUCGCUCAACGGAUAAAAGGUACUCCGGGGAUAACAGGCUGAUACCGCCCAAGAGUUCAUAUCGACGGCGGUGUUUGGCACCUCGAUGUCGGCUCAUCACAUCCUGGGGCUGAAGUAGGUCCCAAGGGUAUGGCUGUUCGCCAUUUAAAGUGGUACGCGAGCUGGGUUUAGAACGUCGUGAGACAGUUCGGUCCCUAUCUGCCGUGGGCGCUGGAGAACUGAGGGGGGCUGCUCCUAGUACGAGAGGACCGGAGUGGACGCAUCACUGGUGUUCGGGUUGUCAUGCCAAUGGCACUGCCCGGUAGCUAAAUGCGGAAGAGAUAAGUGCUGAAAGCAUCUAAGCACGAAACUUGCCCCGAGAUGAGUUCUCCCUGAGACUUAGAGUCUCCUGAAGGAACGUUGAAGACGACGACGUUGAUAGGCCGGGUGUGUAAGUGCAGCGAUGCGUUGAGCUAACCGGUACUAAUGAACCGUGAGGCUUAACCUUACAACGCCGAAG
rnacentral:rRNA from 1 species